CAACAUGGAGCUGGAGGCCAUUAUCAUGACUAAAAUAACUUCAAAAUAGAAAACCAAAUACCACAUAUUCUCACUUCUAUGUGGGAGCUAAAUGAACAUACUGACACUAGGAACUCCAUUUCUAAAAUCUAUGGCUUUCUCUGCCACCUUGUGAAGAAGAUGCCUGCUUCUCCUUUGCCUUCCACCAUGACUGUAAGUUUCCCAAGGCCUCUGCAGCUAUGCAGAACUGAGUCAAUUAAACCUCUUUCCUUUAUAAAUUACCCAAUCUCAAGUAGUAUAUUCAUAGCAGUGUGAAAACAGCCCAGACUUGACUUCUACUACCCAAAAUGUCUAUGUCACAAAACUGCACUUCUACAUCCUGAAUCUAUAAAAAUAAAAAUUAAAAGUUAAAAAGUAAGGGAUUGGUGCAAUAGCUAUUUCAGUUGUAACAAAUUAUUUUGAAUGCUUUCUGUCUGGAACAUGAUAACAGACACAUGAAUUUUCAUAGAUUUAAUGGGUUUCUAUCAACUAUGAUAUUAUUCUCAUUGGCUCAAAGGUCCUACCUUUGGCCACUGGGAACCCCUUAAUGGUGUCCUUUUGAUACAAUAGCAUCAAUCUGAAAGCUUUCAUGUUUUCUGGCACAAGAUUCUCCUGCUCACCCUAUCCCUUCCUUGUCCCCAACAUGGAAGGAAGAGACAUUUCUCCAAGGAGCUCUGGCUGUGUUUAUGAGGAGUGGUGUUUGUAGCCAAAAAAUGGACUCUUGGCACACUUAUGCUGCUAUUGGGACAUUGCUUUUUGCCCAUUUCAGUGGUCAGUGCAAGAAAAGUGUCUUUUUUAAAAUCACAAAUUCAUACUGAUAUAUACAUUUCUAGUAUUUCUACCUAAUUUACUUGAUUUUAUAAUUGAUUCUCUUUUCUCUUAUAAUGAGCAGCAUUAUUUCUAAUCACACAAAUGUUGUCUACUUACUUGCUUUAUCUAACAAUUUAUAGAAAAGUAGUUUUACAAUAACAAUCCCAUUAUUAACACAAACAGUGAUACUACUGAAUACAAUUUCAAAUUUUUCUUUGCAGUUUUGUCUUUAGAAUGCAGGUCCUAAGCAUGUGUGUUCCAAGUAAUAAUUCUAAAUUCACUUGAAAUUACCUUUUACUAUGUGUAUGUAAGCACCUAUCCAAUGUAGACGUUAAUGCAAUUGUUUGUUUUUAUUUUCAGUGUAAAGUUUCUGCAUUCUAGCAGCUGCUAGUUCUUAGAAGGUGGUGCUUCUGGCUAGUCCUCUUAGCUAUAGGAGGUGGAAGGUUGGUCUACAACCAACUUUAAGACAAUCUACCAUGAACUUUGAGACAAUCUACCAUGAACUUCAAGAUGAUCUACAUGAACUACGAGAAGAUCUACACAAACUUUGAGAUGAUCUACACGAACCUCGAGACAAUGUACAUGAACCUUGAGAUGAUCUACACAAACUUCGAGGCGAUCUACACGAACUCCAAGAUGAUCUACACGAACUUCAAAUCAAUCUACCAAGAACUUUGAGACAAUCUAUGUGAACUUCAAGACAAUCUACCACAAACUGCUAGACAGUCUACCAUGAACUACAAGACACUCAACACAAACUUCAAGACAAUUUACACGAACUUUGAGACAAUCUACAUGAACGUCAAGAUAAUCUACCAUGAACUUCAAGACAAUCUACAUGAACUUGUAGACAGUCACAUGAACUUUGAAACAAACUGCAUGAACUUUGAGACAAUCUACAUGCACUUCUAGACAAUCUAACAUGAACUUCGAGACAAUCUACCACAAACUGCUAGACAAUCUACCAUGAACCACAAGACAAUCUAACACAAACUUCAAGACAAUCUACAUGAACUAUUAGACAAUCUACAUGAAUUCUGAGACAAUCUACAUUAACUUUGAGAAAAACGGCAUGAACUUUGAGGCAAUCUACUAUGAACCUGGAAACAAUUUACCACGAAUUUCAAGACAAUCUACACAAACUUAUGACAAUGUACCAUGAGCCUCAAGACAAUCUACCACAAACUUCGAGGCAAUCUAAAGGAACAUCAAGACAAUCUAUAUGAACUUCAAAAAAAUCUACAUGAGCUUUGAGACAAUCUACUCGAACUUUAAGACAAUCUAUAUGAGCUUCAAGACAAUCUACACAAGCUUCAAGAGAAUCAACAUGAGCUUUGAGACAAUUUUCAUGACCUUUGAGACAAUCUACAUGAGCUUCAAGACAACCUAUAUGAGAUUCGAGACAAUCUACCAUGAGCUUUGAGACAAUCUACAUGAGCUUCAAGACAACCUAUAUGAGAUUCGAGACAAUCUGCACGAGCUUUGAGACAAUCAACCACAGGCUUUGAGACAAUCUAUGUGAGCUUCAAGACAAUCUAUGUGAGCUUCGAGACAAUCUACAUGAGCUUCAAGACAAUCUACAUGAGCUUCAAGACAAUAUACACAAGCUUAGAGAGAAUCUACAUGAGCUUCAAGACAAUCUUCAUGAGCUUUGAGACAAUCUACAUGAGAACGGAGACAAUCUACCAUGAGCUUUGAGACAAUCUAUGUGAGCUUCAAGACAAUCUAUCACGAGCUUUGAGACAAUCUACAUGAGCUUUGAGACAAUCUACCACAAGCUUAGAGACAAUUUACACGAGCUUUGAGACAUCUAUACGAACUUUGAGAUAAUCUGUAUGAGCUUCAAGACAAUCUACCAUGAGCUUUGAGACAAUCUACAUGAGCUUUGAGACAAUCUACACAAACUUCAGGACAAUUUACACAAACUUUGAGACAAUCUACCACAAAGUUAGAAACAAUCUACCACAAAGUUCAAGACAAUCUACACAAACUUUGAAACAAUCUACACCAACUCCAAGACAAUCUACAGGAACUUUGAGACAAUCUACAUGAACUUUAAGACAAUCUACCCCUAACUUCGAGACAAUCUACACGAACUUCGAGAUAAUCCAAAUAGGCAUCAGCCAAUCUGCUAAGGGCCCCAGUAGAACAGAAAGGUAGAGAAAAGACAUUUUUCUCUUUCUUCUGGAGCUUGGACAUCCUUUUUCUUCUGUCCUCACACAUCUGAACUCUAGGUUCUUGGGCUUUUGGACUCUAGAAUUUACACCAGUGGCCCUGCAGGUUCUCAGGGCCUUUAGCCGUGGACUGAGUUACACCAUCAACUCCCCUAGUUCUUACUUCCUUGGACUCAGAUUGAGUUAAGCACUGGCUUCACUGAUUCUCCAACUUAUGGUACUUAUUACUUCUGUAACUGCAUAAACCAAUUUCCAUUAAAAAUCGCAUAUAUAUAUAUACACACCUGUAUGUGUAUAUAUAUCUAUAUCUAUGCAUCUUCUCUUGGUUCUGUCUCUCUGGAGAGCCCUAAUACAGGUAACAAUCUUAGAUACAGGUGGGAGGUUGGUCUACCACCAACUCUGAGACAAUCUAACACGAACUUUGAGAUGAUCUGCCACGAACUUCUGGAUGAUCUACACAAGCUUUGAGACAAUCUACAUGAACUUUGAGACAAUCUACACUAACUUUGAGAUGAUCUGCAAGAACUUUGAGACAAUCCACAUGAACUUUGAGAUGAUCUACACAAACCCUGAGACAAUCUACACAAAUUUUGAGGCAAUCUAUACAAACUUUCAGACAAUCUACAGAAACUUUGAGACAAUCUACAUCAACUUCAAGAAGAUCUACACAAACUUUGAGAUGAUCUUCACAAACUUUGAGAAGAUCUACACAAACUUUGAGAUGAUCAACAUGAACCUUGAGAUGAUCUAUAUGAACUUCAAGAUGAUCUACAUGAACUUCAAGACAAUCAACACAAACCAAGAGAUGAUCUACACGAACCUCGAGAUGAUCUACACAAACCUUGAGCAAUCUACAUGAAACUUGAAACAAUCUACAUGAAUUUGGAGAUGAUCUACAUGAACUUCGAGACAACAUUAACCUUGAGACGAUCUACAUGAACCUCAACAAAAACUAAACAAACCUCAAGACAAUCUACACGUACUUUGACACAAACUACACAAUCCUCAAGACGCUCUACGCAAACUUCGAGACGCUCUACACAAAAUUCAAGAUGAUCUACACAAACUUUUAGAUGAUCUAUACAAAUUUUGAGAUAAUCUACAGGAUAGUCGAUACAAUCUGCAUGAGCUUUGAGACAAUCUACCAUGAACUUCAAGGCAAUCUACACCAACUUUGAGAACUUUGAGACAUGAACUUAGAGACAAUCUCCACAAACUUUGAAAUAAUCUACCAGAACUUCAAGACAAUCUACACGAACUUCAAGACAAUCUACACAAACUUUGAAACACUCUACAGAAACUUUGAGACAAUCUAAAUGAAUCUCAAGACAAUCUACAUGAACUUGGAGAUGAUCUACACAAAUUUCGAGAUAAUCUACAGGAUAGUCGAUACAAUCUGCAUGAGCUUCGAGACAAUCUACACCAACUUUGAGAACUUUGAGACACAAACUUGGAGAGACUCUCCACAAACUUUGAGAUACUCUAUAGGAACUUUGAGACAAUCUACCUGAGCUUUAAGACAAUCUACCAUGAACUUUGAGACAAUCUACACAACGUUCAAGAAAAUCUAUCAAAAACUUUGAUACAAUCUACCAUGAGCUUUGAUACAAUUACCAUGAGCUUUGACACAUUCUACCAUGAGUUUCGAGACAAUCUAUUAUGGGCUUUGAGACUCCACCACAAACUUUGACACAAUCUACCACGAGCUUCCAGACAAUCUACCACAAACUUUGAUAUAAUCUACACGAACUUCAAGACAGACUACAUGACCUUUGAGACAAUCUAAAUGAAUUUUGAGGCAAAUUACACAAACUUUGAGACAAACUACACGAACUUUGAGACAAUCUACCAUGAACUUUGAAACAAAUUACCAUGAACUUCGAAACAAAUCUACACAAACUUCGAGACAAUCUACAUGAACUUCAAGACAAUCUACAUGAAGUUUGAGACAGUAUAUCACAAACUUCAAGACAAUCUACCAUGAACUUCGAGACAAUCUAAAGGAACUUCGAGACAAUCUACACAAACUUUGAAAAAAUCUACAUGAGGUUUGAGAUACAUGAGCUUUAACACAAUCUACACAAGCUUUGAGACAAUCUACAUGAGCUUUGAGACAAUCUACAUGAGCUUUGAGACAAUCUACAUGUGCUUUGAGACAAUAUACACAAGUGUUGAGACAAUCUAUACGAGCUUCAAGACAAUCUAACACAAGCUUCGAGACAUCUAUGUGGUCUUCGAGACAAUCUACUAUAUGGGCUUUGAGACAAUUUACACAAGCUUUGAGACGAUCUAUGCAAGCUUCGAGACAAUCUAUGCUGGCUUCUAGACAAUCAAUGCUGGCUUCAUGACAAUCUAUGCUAGCUUUGAGACAAUCCACACUGGCUUAGAGGCAAUGUGUAUAUGUGGGCUUCAAGACAAUCUAUCUAAACAGGCUUCAAGACAAUCUACAUAGGAUUCGACACAAUCUAUGCAGGCUUUGAGACAAUCUAUUGUGGCUUUGAGUCAAUCUACUCUGGCUUCAAGACUAUCUAGACAGGCUUUGAGAUAAUCUGCGUGGGCUUCAAGACAAUCUAUGCGGGCUUCAAUAAAAUCUACAUGGGCUCUGAGAAAAUCUACAUGGGCUUUGAGACAAUCAAUGCUGGCUUCAAGACAAUCUACGCAAGCUUUGGGACAAUCUAUGCAAGAUUCAAGACUAUCUAUGUGGGCUUCAAGAAAAUCCCUCUAAAAAGGCUUUGAGACAAUCUACCCGGGCUUUGAGACAAUCUACAGGGGCUUCAAGACAAUCUAUGCAGGUUUUGAGACAAUAUAUUUACAUGGGCUUUGAGACAAUCUACGCAGGCUUCAACACAAUCUACGCGGGCUUCAAGACAAUCUAUGCAGGUUUUGAGACAAUAUAUUUACAUGGGCUUUGAGAAAAUCAACAUGAAAUCCAAGACAAUCUAUGUGGGCCUGAGACAAUCUAUCUAUGUGGGCUUUGAAACAAUCUAUGCAGACUUUGAGACAAUCUAUCUAUGAAAGCUUCAAGACAAUCAAUGCAGGCUUCAAGACAAUGUAUGCCGGAUUUGAGACAAUCUAUGCUGGCUUUAACAAAAUCUAUAUAUACGGGCUUCGAGACAGAUUCUAUCCACGUGAGCUUUGAGACAAUCUAUGUGGGCUUCAAGACAAUCUACGGGGACUUCAAGACAAUCUCUCUAUGUGGGCUUUGAGAAUUUCUAUGCUGGCUUCAAGUCAAUCUACGCUUUGAGACAAUCUGUGCUGGCUUCGAGCCAAUCUACGCUGGCUAUGAGACAAUGUAUAUACACAAGCUUCAAGGCAAUCUAUCUACAUGGGUUUCAAGAUAAUCUACACAAGCUUUGAGACAAUCUAUGAAGGCUUUGAGACAAUUUAUCUACAUGGGCUUUGAGACAAUCUACGCCAAGUUUUGAGACAAUCUACGCAGGCUUGAAGGUAAUCUAUGCCAGCUUCAAGGCAAUCAGUGCUGGCUUCAGGGCAAUCUACUCUACCUUCAAGACAAUCUAUGCUGGCUUAUAUAGAGAGUAUAUAUACAGGCUUCAAAACAAUCUAUGCAGGCUUCCAGGCAGUCAGUGCUGGCUUCAGGACAAUCCACACUGGCUUGAAGACAGUCUACACUAGCCUAGAGACAAUGUAUAUCGGCGGGCUUUGAGACUAUCUACAUGAGCUUCAAGACAAUCUGUCUAUGCAGUGUUCGAGAAAAUCUACCAGGGCUAUGAGACAUUCAACGUGGGAUUUGAGACAAUCUGUGCAGGCCUCAAGGAAAUCAAUGUGGGCAACGAGACGAUAUACUUGGGCUUUGAGAUAACUAUCUAUGUGGGCUUUGAGACAAUCUACGUAGGUGUCUAGACAAUCUACAUGGGAUUUGAGACAACUUAUAUAGGUGGGCUUCAAGACAAUCUACACUCUCUUGAGAAUAUCUACGCCAGCUUUGAGACAAUCUAUGCAGGCUUCAAGAAAAUCUAUGCGGUUUUUGAGAUAAUCUAUCUAAGGAGGCAUCAAGACAAUCUACACAGGCUUUGAGACAGUAUACGUGGGCUUCAAGACAAUCUAUCUAUGUGGGCUUUGAGACAAUCUACGAGGGCUUCAAGAAAAUCUACAUGAGCUUCAAGACAAUAAACGCAGCCUUCAACACAAUCUACGUUAGCUUUGAGACAAUGUAUCAAUGCAGGCAUCGAGACAAUACACACUGGCUUUGAAAAAAUCUAUGUGGGUUUCAAGACAAUCUAUGCUGCCUUCAAGACAAUCUACACAGCAUUGAGAUUGCUGGCUUCAAGACAAUCUACACUGGCCUCGAGAUGAUCUAUGCUGGCUUUGAGGCAAUCUAUGCUGGCUUCAAGACAAUCUACAUGCUUGCAGUCAACCUACACAGGCUUUGAGACAAUCUACACUGGCUUCGGGGUAAUCUACGCUGGCUUCAAGACAAUCUACACUGCCUCAAGUCAAUCUACACUGGCUUCGAGAAAAUCUAUGCUGGAUUUGAGUCAAUCUAUGAUGGCUUCAAGACAAUGAACGCUGGCUUCUUUUCAAUCUAUGUUGCUUUGAGAGAAUCUAUGCUGGCUAAGAGAUAAUCUACAUUGGUUUUGAGUCAAUCUGCGAUGGCUUCAAGACAAACUAUGCUGGCAUUGAAACAAUCUACAUUGGCUUCAUGUCUAUCUAUGUUGGCUUCAAGAUAAUCUACACUGGCUUCAAAAAAAUCUAUGCUGGCUUCUAGACAAUCUACACUGCUUUCAAAAAUAUUUAUGCUGCCUUCAAGACAAUCUACUCUGGCCUCAAGAGAAUCUACACUGGCUUCUUGUCAAUCUGCGCUGGCUAUGAGACAAUCUACUCUGGCUUUGAGACAAUUAACACUGGUUUUGAGGCAAUCUAUGCUGGCUUCAAGACAAUCUACACUGACUUCGAGUCAAUCUACACUGCCUUUGAGACAAUCUGUGUGGGGGCUUUGAGACAAUCAAUGCUGGCUUUGAGUCAAUCUAUGCUGGCUUUGAGACAGUCUACACUGGCUUUGAGACAAUCUAUGCUGGCUUCAAAAAAAUCCAUGCUGUCUUACAGACAAUCCACACUGGCUUUGAGACAAUCUACGCUGACUUUGAGGCAAUCUACACUGCCUUCAAGACAAUCUAUGCUGGCUUCAAAAUAUCUACGCUGGCUUCAAGACAACCUAUGCUGGAUUUGAGGCAAUUUACAGUGGCUUUGAGUCUAUCUACACUGGCUUUGAGAUAAUCUACCCAGGCUUUGAGACAUUCAACACGGGUUUUGAGGCAAUCUAUGCUGACUUUGAGACAAUCUAUGCUGGCUUUGAGACAAUCUAGCCCGGCCUCGAGUCAAUCUACAUUGGCUUCAACACAACUUACGCUGGCUUCUAGAUAAUCAACGCUAACUUCAUUUCAAUCUAUGCUGACUUCAAGACAAUUUAUGCUGGCUCCAAAACAAUCUAUGCACUUCGAGUCAAUCUAUGCUGGCUUUGAGACAAUCUACACUGCCUUAGACGCAAUCUAUACUGGCUUUGAGACAACAUAUACUAGCUUUGAGGCAAUCAAUGCUGGCUUUGUGUCUUUCGAUGCUGGCUUUGAGAUAAUAUACACUGGCUUUGAGGCAAUAUAUGCUGUCUUCAAGACAAUAUAUGCUGGCUUUUAAAAAAUCUAUGUUAAUGUUGGGGCAAUCUACGCUGGCUUUAUAACAACAUAUGCUGGCUUUGAGACAAUCUAUGCUGGCUUUGAGGCAAUCCACACUGGCUUCAAGACAAUCUGCCCUUACUUUAAGGCAAUCUAUGCUUCCUUUGAGACAAUCUACGCCAGCUUCGAGACAAUCUAUGUUGGCUUUGAGACAAUUAACACUGGCUUUGUAAGGCAAUCUAUGCUGGCUUCAAGACAAUCUACGCUGGCUUUGAAAAAAUCUACACUGGCUUUGAGAAAAUCUUUGCUGGCUUUUAGACAAUUAACACUGGUUUAGAGGCAAUCUAUACUGCCUUCGAGACAAUCUACGCUGGCUUCAAGUCAAUCUAUGCUAACUUUGAGAUAAUAUAUGUUGGUUUCAAGAUAACACUGGCUUCAAGGCAAUCUACACUGGCUUGGAGACAAUCUACGCUGAAUUGGAGUCAAUCAACACUGGUUUUGCGUCAUUCUAUGAUGGAUUUGAGAUAAUCUACACUGGCUUCGAGACAAUCAAUGUUGGCUUUGAGGCGAUUUAUGCUGGCUUUGAGGCAAUAAACGUUGACUUCCAGACAAUCUACGCUGGCAUCAAGACAAUCUACACUGAAUUGAAGUCAUUCAAUGCUGGCUUUGUGUCAUUCUACACUGGCUUUGAGACAAUCUACACUGGCUUUGAGGCAAUAUAUGCUGGCUUUGAGACAAUAUAUGCUUGCUUCGAGACAAUCUACACUUGUUUAGAGACAAUGUAUGUAUACCGGCUUCAAGACAAUCUAUCUAUGUUGCUUUGAGACACUCUACACUGGCUUUGAGACAAUCUACACUUGUUUAGAGACAAUGUAUGUAUACCGGCUUCAAGACAAUCUAUCUAUGUUGCUUUGAGACAAUCUACACAGCUUUGAGAUGAUCUAUGUGGGCUUCAAAACAAUCUAUACAACCUUCAAGACAAUCUAUGUGGGCUAUGAGAAAAUCUAUGUGGCCAGUGAGCCAAUCUAUGCCAGCUUUGAGAACAUAUAUCUAUGUGUGCUUCGAGACAAUCAACACAAACUUUGAGACAAUCUAUGUGGGCUUUGAGAUAAUCUAUCUCCAUGGGCUUCAAGAUUAUCUAUCUAUGUGAGCUUGUAGACAUAUCUAUGCAAGCUUGAGACAAUCUAUGCAGGUUUUGAGACAAUCUACACUGGCUUCAAGACAAUGUAUAUGUGCAGGCUUUGCGACAAUCUACAUGGGCUUCAAGACAAUAUAUGCUGGCUUUGAGACAAAAUGCUGGCUUGAGACAAUCACUUCUGGCUUCGAGACAAUCUACACUGGUUUAGAGACAAUGUAUGCACACAUGCUUUGAGACAAGCUAUCUAUACAGGCUUGAAGACAGUCUACGCAAGCUUUUAGACAAUCUACACAGACUUUGAAACUAUCUACAAGAGCUUUGAGACAAUCUAUAUCAGCUGUGAGACAAUCUAUCUAGGCAGGCUUCGAGACAGUUUACUUGAGCUUUGAGAAAAUCAUUCCAUAUGUGCUUCCAAACAAUAUACUCUGGCUUUGAGACAAUCUACACUGGCUUCGAGAAUAUCUACACAUGCUUCAAGACAACCUACACCCUCUUUGAGAAAAUCUACCCCAAGUUCGAGACCAUAUAUCUACACGGGCUUUGAGACAAUAUAUCUACACAAGCUUUGAGACAAUAUGUGCAAGCUACCAGACAAUUUAUGUGGGCAAUGAGCCAAUCUAUGUAGGCUUCAAGAAUAUGUAUCUACUCAGGCUUCAAAACAAUCAACACAGACUUUGAGACAACCUACACAAGCUUUGAGACAAUCUAUUUACACAGGCAUUGCGACAAUUUACGUGGGCUACGAGACAAUCUACGCUGGCUUCAAGAUGAUCUACACUAGCUUAGACACAAUCUAUAUAUGCAGGGUUUGAGACAAUCUAUCCACGCCUACAGAGAACCAGCUUGGUCGUGAGACCCCCACCCAGGCAGUGCUGAAGGUAUUUGAGACAAUCUGCACCAUCUCUGAGACAAUCUACAUGAGCUUUGAGACAACCUACUACAAACUUCAAGACAAUCUACAUGAACUUUGAGACAAUCUACAUGAACUUCAAGACAAUCUACACGAACUUCUAGACAAUCUACACGAACUUCCAGACAAUCUACCACAAACUUUGAGACAAUCUACAUGAACUUUGAGAUAAUCAACCAUGAACUUCAAGACAAUCUACACAAACUUUGAGACAAUCUACACAAACUUCAAGACAAUCUACCACAAACUUUGAGACAAGCUACAUGAACUUCAAGAUGAUCUACCAUGAACUUCGAGACAAUCUACACGAACUUCGUGACAAUCUACACAAACUUCAUGACAAUCUACAUGAACUUUAUGACAAUCAACCAUGAUCUUCAAGACAAUCUACCACAAACUUCAUGACAAUCUAUGCAAACAUUGAGAAAAUCUAUGUGAACUUCAAGACAAUCUACAUGAACUUGGAGACAAUCUUUGUGAACUUCAUGACAAUCUACACGAACUCUGUGACAAUCAACCAUGAACUUCAAGACAAUCUACACGAACUUCCAGACAAUUUACACAAACUCCAAGACAAUCUACACAAACU